rnacentral:rRNA from 1 species
UACAGAGGGUGCAAGCGUUAAUCGGAAUUACUGGGCGUAAAGCGUGCGUAGACGGUUACAUAAGUCGGGUGUGAAAGCCCCGGGCUCAACCUGGGAAUUGCAUUCGAGACUGCGUAGCUAGGGUGCGGAAGAGGGAAGCGGAAUUUCCGGUGUAGCGGUGAAAUGCGUAGAUAUCGGAAGGAACACCAGUGGCGAAAGCGGCUUCCUGGUCCAGCACCGACGUUCAGGCACGAAAGCGUGGGGAGCAAACAGGG